rnacentral:lncRNA from 1 species
GAUGCAAAUCAGGGGGAAGGAUAUCCCAUAAUUCCGUAAACCAUGGAACUAUUAUGUGAUGUAGAGGACUUUUAGGAAUCUUACGUAUUUGUUGCAAUUCUGUUUCUGUUAUUCUUUCCAAGUUCAUUGCUUUCCUAGUUUAUUUCUUCCGAGUUUAAUGCUUUCCUAGUUGGAGUUGGAGAUUUGAAUAUUGGUUUGUUAUUUAAGGAAUGAUAAAUAAAAAAAAAAGGCAGAGAGUUUUUUUGGCCAUUCGAAAAUUCGAAUCCUUUCUUUCUUUGGAGUGAUUCCAAUGUUGCAGAGAGAUUCUGUGUUUGCUUAGCUCUUGGUCUUGAUGUGAGAUUGGUCCAGGACGCUUGACAUCAAUUUGGUAUCAGAGCAGGUUCCAUGCCUGUAACCCACAGUGGCAAUUCAUAUGCCAUGGCAAACACCCAAAAUACAAACGACCAAAACCCAAAUAACCAAAACACAAACCAUCCCCAGUUGCAGCACCAAAUAGAUCAAAUCGCCACAGUGUUGGAGCAAAUCACUCAUCGACUAGAUGUCAUGGAUGAGCGACACGCUCGAGAGGAAUAUGGGCCCUUCAAUCGGAGAGGGCGUAGAGCAGUUCGUGAUGGGGAAAGGUUGGACGAAAGUGAUGGAGAUGCUGGUGAAAAUGAAGAAGAAGAAGAAAAUCAGGAGUUUGAGAAUAAUGAGCCGCGAACCCGACGUCAUAGACAAAAUUUUCACUGAGGUCAUGCUAGUCAUCGUGCAGCUUAUCAACCUCUUGAUGAACUGACCAAGAGAAUGAGAGUUGAUGUACCAGACUUUUUUGGAAAAUUGGAACCCAAUGCUUUUGAGGACUGGUUAACGGCUAUCGAGGAUUAUUUCGAUUGGUUUGAUGUAUCGGAGGAUAGAAAGGUUCCUUAUGUCCGGAUGAAAUUGAAGGGGCAUGCACGAGCAUGGUGGGGAAGUGUGGAAGAACAAUUACGCCGUACACGACGACCAACAGUUUCUAACUGGGAAGAAAUGAAAGAGCGAUUAAAGGAAAAAUAUUUGCCUAUUAAUUAUGAGCAGAUGAUGUUCAAGGAGAUGUUGCAACUCAAGCAAGGGUCAUUAAGUGUUGAUCAAUUUACGGAUCGCUUCCACAAAUUGACUGUCCGUAGCAAGAUCGUGGAGAUUGAACAACAAACUUUAGCUCGAUACCGUACCGGAUUACGCAGUGAACUACGCAAAGAAAUGUGAACUGCACGUUUAAUCAACGUGGAGGAGGCGUAUCAAAUGGCACUUCGUAUUGAGAAACAAAUGGGGCCUUCGUUUGGGAGGAAAAUGUCGUCAAUGGAUUCAAGACAGGAACGAGUUACCACUCCUUCAUUCCAAAAGCCUCCAUUGCUAAAAGAUCAAUCUAAGGGCGCUGCAAGUGGAGACCAGAAGGGAAAAGCAAAAGUCACCAGUGAAGGGCCGCAAUGUUAUAAAUGUAAAGGAUUCGGACACUAUGCUGUUGUGUGUCCUACAAGAGAUAAAAAACUAGCCUUUAUAUGUGAAAAAGAAUUAUUAAUGGUGGACGAUGUUGAAGACACAGAUGGAGAGGAAACUGAAGAGGAUAAUCACAGUGAGGAAGAACACUUGGGUGCGUCAAACCUACCUAUCUGCGUGAUCCAACGAGUUUUGACGAGAACUAAGAGAGAGUUCCAGGCGAAUCCCGAGUGGCUGCGCACCAAUAUUUUCCACACUCGUAUGGAGCAUAAUGGUCGGGCCUUGAAUGUUAUUAUUGAUAAUGGCAGUGGCAUGAAUGUGGUCUCUGAAACAGCUGUCGAAUGUUUGGGGCUAAAGACUGAGAACCAUCCUACUCCUUAUAGGAUCAGCUAGGUUAAUGAAGCCAAUUCAGUCUUAGUGAAGCAACGGUGCUUGGUUAAAUUUUCUUUGGGAAAAAAAUAUAUGGACGAAGCUUGGUGCGAUGUAAUCCCUAUGACAGUCUGUCACAUGUUAUUGGGACGCCCGUGGCUCUAUGAUCGGAGGGUCCUCUAUGAUGGGUAUGCUAACACUUACUCUUUUACUUUCAAAGGUAAGAAAUUUGUUUUGGAUCCCUUACAGAUUUCAGAAUUUGAGGCAAGAAAAGAAGCAGUCCCAGUUUUGAUGAUGCGACAAUUUUCUCAAGUCUUGCAUGAGGGUGAUAUGUUGCUUAUGGUCAUAAAACGUGAAGUAAAGCAGGUGGACAGUAAUAUUCCAACAGAAUUCACGGCGAUGUUGGAAGAAUUUCAGGAUAUCAUGCCGGGUGAAAUGCCGAAUCAAUUACCUCCAAUGAGGAAGGUGCAGCAUGCUAUCGAUCUAAUCCCUGGCUCAACUUUGCCUAAUUUACCACACUACCACAUGAGCCCAGCGGAGAAUGAAGAACUCAACCGACAAAUUCAACAAUUACUAGACAAAGGUUUUAUUCAAGAAAGUCUCAGCCCAUGUGCUGUUCCGGUUUUACUCACACCAAAGAAGGAUGGUAGUUGGAGGAUGUGCGUCGAUAGCCGAGCAAUUAAUAAGAUAACCGUGAAGUACCGAUUUCCCAUUCCUCGUCUUGAUGAUAUGUUGGAUUUGCUAUGUGGCUCAUCUAUUUUCACUAAGAUCGACCUUCGAAGUGGUUACCACCAAAUCCGUAUCCGGUCAGGGGACGAGAGGAAGACGGCCUUCAAAACGAAAGAUGGUUUGUUCGAAUGGCUAGUUAUGCCCUUCGGAUUAACUAACGCACCAAGCACUUUCAUGCGUGUGAUGACACAAGUUCUCAAACCAUUUUUGGGAAAAUUUGUCGUUGUUUAUUUUGAUGAUAUUUUGAUUUUUAGCCAAAGUUUGCAAGAUCAUUUAAGCCAUGUUGAGCAGGUAUUGAAGGUUCUAAGAGCCGAACAACUUUAUAUUAAUCGGGACAAAUGCUCGUUCAUGAAGAAAAGUGUCACGUUUUUAGGUUUUAUAAUUUUUGAUGAAGGUGUUGAGGCUGAUCCUGCAAAGGUGCAAGCCUAUCCAGAACUGGCCAACACCUCAGAAUUUUUCUGAGGUCAGAAGCUUCCAUGGUUUGGCCACGUUUUAUUGACGAUUUAUUCGCAGUUUCAACACUAUAAUGGCCCCAAUCACUGAGUGCUUGAAAGAAAAAAAAUUUCUAUGGAGUACCGCAGCUGCGAAGGCAUUCUCGAAAUUAAAAAACGAAUGGGACAAGCACCAGUACUUAAGUUACCAGACUUCUUUAAAAUUUUUGAAGUAGCUUGUGAUGCUUCACAUGUGGGCAUCGGAGGUGUGUUGAGUCAGGAAGGGCACCCUAUUGCUUUUUUCAGUGAGAAACUUAACGAUACUCGCCGACGAUAUUCAGUAUAUGAUAUGGAAUUCUACGCUUUAAUUCAAACUCUCAAGCAUUGGCGACCAUACUUGAUCCACAGAGAGUUUAUUCUUUAUACAGACCAUGACUCUUUGAAGCAUUUACGUUCCCAAAAUAAACUGAAUGCACGGCAUGCUCGUUGGAUGGAUUAUCUGCAGCAAUUUGAAUUUGUUAUCAGACAUAAGUCAAGGGCUGAAAAAUAAGGUGGCUAACGCCUUAAGCAGGAGACCACACUUGUUACAUGUGUUUUCAACUAAUGUCGCAGGAUUUGAUAAUUUAAAAAUAGAGUAUGCCAACGAUGAAGACUUCGGCAAUAUAUGGAGUGAUCUCUCCACUUAUCAGCACACAUCUAGUAAUGGUUAUAUGUUGCGCAAUGGUUUCUUAUUCUACAAAUCACGGCUAUGCGUUCCGCGUGGCUCUUUUCGGGAGUUUUUAAUUACGGAACUCCACGGCGGGGGUUUGGCUGGGCAUUUCGGUCAUGAUAAAACCUUUGCUAUUGUUGUUGAUCGGUUUUAUUGGCCUCGGAUGCGGAGAGACGUGCAUACAGUGGUUGAUCGAUGUCGAAUUUGCCAAUUAAACAAAGGAACCAAGCAGCAAGCGGGGCUCUAUUCACCACUUCCUAUUCCCGACAAACCAUGGCAGCAUAUUAGUAUAGACUUUGUUCUUGGGUUACCAAGAACUCUUCGACAACAUGAUUCAAUUAUGGUGGUGGUUGAUCGUUUUUCCAAGAUGUCCCAUUUUAUUCCAUGUAACAAAACUUAUGAUGCAUCAAAAGUUGCUGCAAUAUUUCUACAAGAAAUUGUCCGUUUGCAUGGUAUUCCGACUUCAAUUGUGUCUGACAGGGACGUCAAAUUUGUGAGUUAUUUUUGGAAAACAUUGUGGACAAAGAUGGGCACAAAGCUUAUGUUUUCUAGUGCAUUCCAUCCCCAAACUGAUGGCCAAACUGAGGUAACCAACAGGAGUUUGGGAAAUCUAUUACGCUGCCUUGUGGCAGAUCAUGUGACUAGCUGGGAUAUGGUGCUUCCGCAUGCUGAAUUUGCCUUUAAUAAUUCUGUUAACAGGACAACAGGUUGCACUCCAUUCGAAGUGGUGUAUGGGUUCCGACCUAGCACUCCACUUGAUGUAAAUUCAUUGCCAUUGCCCCCCCAGGCCAAGUGAGGUUGCAUUAGAUUUUUCUAGCUAUAUGCGAGAUAUCCAUGAAGAAUGCAAACGACGCCUUACCAUCCAUACAAAUUCUUAUGCAGCUUCAGCAAAUGCAAAACGCAAGGAUCGGCAAUUUAAUGAAGGCGAUAUGGUCCUUGUGCGUUUAAGGCCGGAGUGAUUUCCUCGGGGAGUUUUACCAAGUUGCAUGCACGCCGAGCAGGUCCUUUUAGAGUAACCAAGAAGUUGGGCACCAAUGCAUAUGUUAUUGAAUUACCCUCUAGAUUCGGUAUUAGCCCCGUUUUUAACAUAGAAGAUCUUACGGAGUUCAAAGGUGAUGUCGAUGAAAAUUCCGCAAUACCGUUACCAGAGGCAACACCAGUUCUGCGAGUUCCAGAAAAUACAGCACCACGAGAUGAGAUUGCUGCCAUUCUUGACCAUCAAUUUGUUACAACUCGUAGAGGAGGGUAUUACAAGUUCUUAGUGCAGUGGAAAAAUCAUCCAAAUUCGGACUCUGUAUGGUUGCAAGCUUCAGAAGUCAAGCGUUUGCACCCACAUCUCUUUGAUGCUUACAUUCGUGAAAACUUGCCAGAGUCAAGUUCUUCAGGAGAGCCGGCAAUUGAUGCAAAUCAGGGGGAUGGAUAUCCCAUAAUUCCGUAAACCAUGGAACUAUUAUGUGAUGUAAAGGACUUUUAGGAAUCUUACGUAUUUGUUGCAAUUCUGUUUCUGUUAUUCUUUCCGAGUUCAUUGCUUUCCUAGUUUAUUUCUUCCGAGUUUAAUGCUUUCCUAGUUGGAGUUGGAGAUUUGAAUAUUGGUUUGUUAUUUAAGGAAUGAUAAAAAAAAAAAGGCAGAGAGUUUUUUUGGCCAUUUCUAAAAUUCGAAUCCUUUCUUUCUUUGGAGUGAUUCCAAUGUUGCAGAGAGAUUCUGUGUUUGCUUAGCUCUUG